rnacentral:rRNA from 1 species
CAGGACGAACGCUGGCGGCGUGCUUCAUACAUGCAAGUCGAACGAUAAGGUCUCUUCGGAGAUACAUAAGUGGCGGACGGGUGAGUAAUAUGUAGAGAAUCUGCCCUAGAGUGAGGGACAACAGAGGGAAACUUCUGCUAAUACCUCAUAUGCGCGUAGCUGAGAUGCUAUUCGUGAAAACUCCGGUGCUCUAGGAUGAGUCUGCAUCUGAUUAGCUAGUUGGGGGUGUAAUGGACCACCAAGGCGACGAUCAGUAGCUGGUUUGAGAGGAUGAUCAGCCACAAUGGGACUGAGACACGGCCCAUACUCCUACGGGAGGCAGCAGUAGGGAAUUUUGCGCAAUGGGGGAAACCCUGACGCAGCAACGCCGCGUGAUUGAAUAAGCCCUUCGGGGUGUAAAGAUCUGUCAGUGGGGACGAAACUUGACGGUACCCACAGAGGAAGCAUCGGCUAACUCCGUGCCAGCCGCUGC